GGCUACGUGGAGAAAUUGGUAGACUUGCCAUCUUGAGGGGGUGGUGUUCGUAAGGACGUGUGGGUUCGAAUCCCAUCGUAGUCA
rnacentral:tRNA from 1 species